rnacentral:rRNA from 1 species
AUAAUGGGUCAGCGACUUAUAUUCUGUAGCAAGGUUAACCGAAUAGGGGAGCCGAAGGGAAACCGAGUCUUAACUGGGCGUUAAGUUGCAGGGUAUAGACCCGAAACCCGGUGAUCUAGCCAUGGGCAGGUUGAAGGUUGGGUAACACUAACUGGAGGACCGAACCGACUAAUGUUGAAAAAUUAGCGGAUGACUUGUGGCUGGGGGUGAAAGGCCAAUCAAACCGGGAGAUAGCUGGUUCUCCCCGAAAGCUAUUUAGGUAGCGCCUCGUGAAUUCAUCUCCGGGGGUAGAGCACUGUUUCGGCAAGGGGGUCAUCCCGACUUACCAACCCGAUGCAAACUGCGAAUACCGGAGAAUGUUAUCACGGGAGACACACGGCGGGUGCUAACGUCCGUCGUGAAGAGGGAAACAACCCAGACCGCCAGCUAAGGUCCCAAAGUCAUGGUUAAGUGGGAAACGAUGUGGGAAGGCCCAGACAGCCAGGAUGUUGGCUUAGAAGCAGCCAUCAUUUAAAGAAAGCGUAAUAGCUCACUGGUCGAGUCGGCCUGCGCGGAAGAUGUAACGGGGCUAAACCAUGCACCGAAGCUGCGGCAGCGACGCUUAUGCGUUGUUGGGUAGGGGAGCGUUCUGUAAGCCUGCGAAGGUGUGCUGUGAGGCAUGCUGGAGGUAUCAGAAGUGCGAAUGCUGACAUAAG